AAUUGAUCUGGAUAGUAAAGAUGAUGAAGAUGGAUUGGACGAAGACUUGGAGAACAUAUUAUGAGUCAAACAACAACUAAGUUAAUUGGUGCAUAUCAAAAGAUGCACAGAUUUAGGAGGAGAUGGAUGUCUUGCUUUAACACGAUUAUAUGGUAAUAAUAUAAAAGAAUAAGAUUUUUAUUAAUAUUUAGUCAUCUUGAAUGUUAGUAGUGGUAGCCAAUUCCAGUGCCAAUAUUUAGGGACUAGUUAGUGUCACCCUGUCGCAGUUAGUUGGGGCAUACUUACUAGUAAUGAAAUGCUUCAUUUAAUUCCAAUAACAAGAUUCAACACAAGAGAAAAGGACUAAUUUAACAUUGAGUGAGUUUGAUGUAAAGGGCUAAUUUGACUCAAUUACAGAGACGUCCAAUCUUAGUCUUGUUACAGUCUCUUAUCGAGUAUGAGACCUGACUUGAUUGGCAAUUCAAUGAGGUCCCAAUAUAGAGACUUUGGCUCCAUUUUAAGCUAUUUCGUUGGUUGGAGAGAGGUGUUUUUGUAUCAUUUGGGAUCAGUAUUAGAUUUUGAAGGAUUUUCAAAGCGAAUGAUGUUCUCUGUGAUUUUAGAUCUUUGAGAAAUAAAUCCGAUUUAUAAAUUUUUGGAUUUUAUGAUUUUUGUAGCAUUUUUACGGAUAAAAAUUUAGAGACUUAUUGGUAUGCUUGUUGUGAAUGUGUACAAGAGGUUUGAGGUCAAUCGAAUGGCUACGUUGAUACAUAUGAAGGUUUUGUGAGCUAAGAUUUCGGAAUUUAGGAUUUUAAAGACCAGUAAGAUUUUGUUAGAU
rnacentral:lncRNA from 1 species